AUUGUACUCCCUCCGUUCGGAAUUACUUGUCAAAGAAAUGAAUGUAUCUAGAUGUAUUUUAGUUGUAGAUACAUCCAUUUUUGUGACAAGUAAAUCCGAAUGGAGGGAGUAGUUU
rnacentral:pre_miRNA from 1 species